AACUACUUGUUUGAACCAAACACUUUGACAAAUUGAAAAGAAGCAUAUUGAUUAAACUAUCACAAGAAACUGAAAUGAAUAUAAUAGCUAAUCAUCACUCUAGCGGCUCCAGGCCUAAAGCAUUGGGAUUAAUACCCAAACCCAGUGACCUGGGGUCCGGACUUGCUUAACCAAAUCCCAGCUAGGCUAAUUUGCAAGUUCAACCCACAUCACGUAACUCCCCUGAUGGAAUAGGUUCUGGAAAAUAACAAUACAUAGUUAAAUAUUCAAAUUAGGCACAAUGAACUUGAAUCAGAAUAUGUACGGCUAAAUCAAGGAUUAAAUUUACAAAUAUCGCCUAUUUUAUAGCUAUUGUUCACAUUCCAUCAAUGAGACUUUAUCUUUAUCACCUAUUCAAUUGUACCCUUUCUUCUCGAGCUGACUUUAAUUCAUAAUCAUAAGUAUAAAGUUGUUAUCAUUAAAUCACACAAAACACCAGAAUUAAUUCUAGAACCAUAUGAGCUCAAUCGAUUUUUAGAAUUCAUGCUUUAAACAUCAGUUGACUCCUAAUAUCAGGAAUUGCAUAAGCAAACUAAAGAUCAAAUUCAUUAUGAAACUAAAACUAUCAUUUGAAUAGCACGUUAUAAUAGCUCAAUCAAAGGUAGAUCAGCCUAACUAUUGAACAACAACACACGAAAUCAGAUGUAAACACAGCAAAUCAUUCGACUCUUCAUUAGCAAAUUCAAAUAGCAUUACAGAAAGAGUUUCACAUGCUUAGAAGCAAAAUCAACUGAUGAACUUGAUAAAUAAAUUUCAGAGAUGGAAAGUGAAGAUCUAGCCAGCAAAACAACAAUAAGCUCACAAACAAACAAACAACUCCACAGCUUGAAAGCAAUUCGAAAUCCCACGAAGAAAGUGAUGCAAAAACCAGUAAAAAUGGAAGAGCCAAACAACGUUUGUAGCUUUUUUUCUAUCUAUUUUUGAGCCUCAUAUUCUUGUUUUCAAAAAGAAAUCAGGGUGAAUUAAAGAAACCUUAUUUUCAUAGAGAUUUUUUGUAUCAAAAUCCCCUAUGAGAAUGAGAGGAGGAAUCCCAUUUUUAUAGAAUGUGAGCAUGUGCCCAUGAUAGGGAAUGAGAAAGAAUUAAAAGGAAUCUGCCAGCCCCUAAAGUUUAGGGAAAAUGUCAUCUUUCUUAACAAAACAAUUGAUAUCUGUCCAAUUUCUGGAUAUUUCCUCUCACUCUCA
rnacentral:lncRNA from 1 species